UCUGGUUGAUCCUGCCAGACCCGACUGCUAUCAGAGUGGGACUAAGCCAUGCGAGUCAACAUAGCAAUAUGUGGCAUACGGCUCAGUAACACGUAGUCAACAUGCCCAGGGGACGUGGAUAACCUCGGGAAACUGAGGACAAACCGCGAUAGGUCAUCACUUCUGGAAUGGGUAAUGACUUAAAUCUAUAUGGCCCCUGGAUUGGACUGCGGCCGAUCAGGCUGUUGGUGAGGUAAUGGCCCACCAAACCUGUAACCGGUACGGGCUCUGAGAGGAGGAGCCCGGAGAUGGGCACUGAGACAAGGGCCCAGGCCCUAUGGGGCGCAGCAGGCGCGAAACCUCUGCAAUAGGCGAAAGCUUGACAGGGUUACUCUGAGUGAUUUCCGUUAAGGAGAUCUUUUGGCACCUCUAAAAAUGGUGCAGAAUAAGGGGUGGGCAAGUCUGGGGUCAGCCGCCGCGGUAAUACCAGCACCCCGAGUGGUCGGGACGUUUAUUGGGCCUAAAGCAUCCGUAGCCGGUUCCACAAGUCUUCCGUUAAAUCCACCUGCUUAACAGAUGGGCUGCGGAAGAUACUAUAGAGCUAGGAGGCGGGAGAGGCAAGCGGUACUCGAUGGGUAGGGGUAAAAUCCGUUGGUCCAUUGAAGACCACCAGUGGCGAAGGCGGCUUGCCAGAACGCGCUCGACGGUGAGGGAUGAAAGCUGGGGGAGCAAACCGGAUUAGAUACCCGGGUAGUCCC
rnacentral:rRNA from 1 species